AGUCCAAUGCGCUAUCCAUUGCGCCACGGAGCCACCUGUUGGAUUCUUUGUACAUUCGCUAUACAACCCACAGAAAGACUUCGUCCCGUCCUUCGCAGCAGGAAAGGUGAAUCAUUGGCAGUCCAUUUUGCACACACCUUUUGCCAAGAGACAUCAAUUCAGUUUCCAUGCAGCCUUGAGAGAUGCUUCACUGAAGAUGAACAUCCUUCAUCUAGCCCAAGAUACCUAUACCUUACUUCCAGAAUAAAUUUUACAGGCACCCUCUGCAUCAGUUACCAGCCUCUGAGGACUCUUUAAGUGUAACACU